rnacentral:lncRNA from 15 species
UUCUAACUGCUUCUUUAGUCUGAGCAACAGUCUAACAAGCCAAAGGGAUUCAACUGACACUGAGAUGAAACAGAGAGAAGCAGCCAAUCAGUGGAGAAGCAGCUGAUAGUUUUACAGGAGAAAUGAUGUAAAUCAGUGGUUCCCAACCUGAGGGUCAGGACCCCCACUAGUGGUCACCAAAGCUUCAUGGGGGGUCUGUAGGUCGGCCUAUAUCUCAGCAUCUGGUUCACUUCUGUGAAGAAAAGUCAAUGUAAAGUAAACUGUCUAAUAGAUCAAUGACCAAACAUCAGGGACAAAAAAACAGUGAAUUUGUCCAAAAAGAAGCAUAUGAAGUAUUUAUGAUUGUUAAAAUGAUAAAAGAUACAUAACACAGACAAACUGUAUAAAAAGUUCCCUAAACAGGAAAUAAUCUGCUCAGAAUUCAUCAGAAUCAACUUCAACUUCUUGCAGUUACUGAGUUCAAUAUUUGGGUUGAUUGUACAGUUUUGGAUAUAAUAUGAAAUAUGUAUAAAAUAUGUCACUCAGUCAGGGGUCGUCAGUUUACUCUGAUAGAAAAAGGUUGGGAACCACUGAUGUAAAGGAUGAAUGAGUGAUGAUGAGUUCUCAGUGCUGAUCAGUGAUUGGACUGAUGCUUUCAGCUCUGCUCUCAGUGUUUCCUCUACAGAUGAAGGUAGAAAGUCUCUGGGAGCUGAUGUGGAUGUGAAUUCAGCAGCAGCUGCCAAGGUUGCUGUGUCUGUGUGAAGGUGUGGGCUCUGCUAUGGAUCAGUGUGAGGACAGAGAGGAGGGAGUCCCUCCCUCUAAAAGCUCUCUGUGCAGAUACAGUCUUUAUUUUAACCAGUGCAGACCAGAUAAAGCAACAGUGAACAGCAGUGAACACAUCAGCUGGUGCCAAUAGAUUCGUUACCACGUUGGUUUUGAUGGUUUUGAUUGGCUACAUCAUUAACAACGAGCCUCCUCCACACAUUGUUCACUUGCUGAUGUAGAAACAGAAUUGAAUUGAAUUGAAUAGUGAUAUACACCAAUCAGCCAUAACAUCAUGACCACUGACAGGUAUUCUAGGCCUGACUGAGAUCAGCAGCAUGCUGUUAAUCAGGGUUGACAUGAAUAGGUGUAUUAAUGUUGUGCUGACAUUAUGAUGAUCCACAAUAACACAAUGACAAAGUCACUCUACUCAUUUUAGAGAAAAGUUCAUUGAUUAGGACAUAGUAAUGUUAAUCUCCACAUUUAAAACCUGAACGCNNNNNNNNNNNNNNNNNNNNGACAGAUGCUAACUUGUAUAUGUUGGUCAAUGAGCAUAAUUAGCAUUAAUAUUCAGCUAUAUGGACAAUAUUUCAGUAAUUGUUUGGCCUAUUUGGAUAAUACAGGAG